CCCUAUAUUAAAUAUAUACUUGAAACCGACAAUUAUAGGACUCCAAUUUGAAGAGGCAUGGGUCAUCUUCAGCAAAAAAUCUUCACUUAGUUGCUUUCACUCUAACUCCAACUCAACUCCAUUUUAUUACUCAAUGUUCUAUAGUUGAAAGAGCAUAUUUUGGAAUACAUUUUGUAAAGACCAGGCUGCGUAAUCGCUCGUACAGGGGAUUAAUGGUUGAAUGACAUCUUAGUUAUAUAGGAUGAGAAAGAAAUUUGUUAUUGUAUUGAUGAUGAAGUUAUUAUGUGUCAUUUGCAAAACAUGUAAACUCAGUCGUGAACGUUUGUAGUAUUUUUAUUUUCAAUAAUUUGAUUACAGAUUUUGUGUUUUUAA